AGUGAACGCUGGCGGUAGGCCUAACACAUGCAAGUCGAACGGCAGCACAGUAAGAGCUUGCUCUUACGGGUGGCGAGUGGCGGACGGGUGGGGAAUACAUCGGAAUCUACUUUUUCGUGGGGGAUAACGUAGGGAAACUUACGCUAAUACCGCAUACGACCUACGGGUGAAAGCAGGGGAUCUUCGGACCUUGCGCGAUUGAAUGAGCCGAUGUCGGAUUAGCUAGUUGGCGGGGUAAAGGCCCACCAAGGCGACGAUCCGUAGCUGGUCUGAGAGGAUGAGCAGCCACACUGGAACUGAGACACGGUCCAGACUCCUACGGGAGGCAGCAGUGGGGAAUAUUGGACAAUGGGCGCAAGCCUGAUCCAGCCAUACCGCGUGGGUGAAGAAGGCCUUCGGGUUGUAAAGCCCUUUUGUUGGGAAAGAAAAGCAGCAGGUUAAUACCCCGCUGUUCUGACGGUACCCAAAGAAUAAGCACCGGCUAACUUCGUG
rnacentral:rRNA from 1 species